AUGUGGGAGACAAGAAUAUUGAUAAAUUUGGAGAGAGAAAAAAAGUCACUUCAUUGUCUGCUGCUAGCCUCCUCUAUAUACAUUAUCUCCUAGAAGUCCCCAAAAGAAUUUGGACUUGACCAGUUUUACUCUCUUCAAAGGCAAACACAUCCUUGUCUCGUCCGCUCUUCUUGGUCCAUCAACUAGUAAUAUUACUGGUUCAUGGACAUUGAUACUCUUGAGGGCUUCUUGGGGUUGGUGCUUACGUUUCUUAUCAUUCAUGGCUGAAUGGAAUUCAAGAAGAUCAUCACCACAAGCAUUGCUUCUGUUUCUUGGGCUUCUCUUGAUCCUUCCAACCUUGGCUUGCCCAGCAGAUUUACCCGAAAUACCCUUACCGUCAUCUUGGUCACCCAGACAACUCCUCUCUUCUGCUUCUUCUCUCGAAACCAUGGAAUUGCAUCGAAAACUUGCAGAAGCUUCUGUCACUACUGCUUCAACAACAACAACAACUGCUACUCCAACGAGUCACACGCCGAGUAGGGAAUUUGAAGCUGCGGCUCACGAAGUCCCAAGUGGUCCCAAUCCGGAAUCUAAUAAAUGUCUCUUCCAAGGUUUUCUCCUCCAAUUUUCUACUGUGCAUAUAUGUUGAAGGCUAGAGCCAAAACAGAAAAAAGCUACUCCUGUUUAAGGUUGUCCUUAUCUGUUCUUAAUAACUUAUGGGUGUGGAUAUUUAUGGUAAUAUGGUAUAUGGAGAUGAUUUUGGGUGAUGAA